UUUCUCAAUGGGCGAAAGCCUGAAGGAGCGACGCCGCGUGAGGGAUGAAGGGCUUCGGCCUGUAAACCUCUGUMAUUUGCGAACAAACCUUACUUGUGAACAACAGGUGAGCUGAUAGUAGCGAAAGAGGAAGGGACGGCUAACUCUGUGCCAGCAGCCGCGGUAAUACAGAGGUCCCAAGCGUUGUUCGGAUUCACUGGGCGUAAAGGGUGCGCAGGUGGUUCGGUAAGUHCGAUGUGAAAGCCCCGGGCUUAACCCGGGAAUGGCAUUGAAAACUACUGGACUGGAGGAUUGGAGGGGGGACUGGAAUUCUUGGUGUAGCAGUGAAAUGCGCUAGAUAUCAAGAGGAACACCAGUGGCGAAGGCGAGUCCCUGGACAAUUCCUGACACUGAGGCACGAAAGCCAAGGGAGCAAACAGGAUUAGAUACCCUGGUAGUCUUGGCUGUAAACGGUGCGCAUAUGCUGUAAACGGAAUCGACCCCGUUUGUGGCGAACUAACGCGAAAAAUGCGCCGCCUGGGAAGUACGGUCGCAAGAUUAAAACUCAAAGAAAUUGACGGGGGCCUGCACAAGCGGUGGAGUAUGUGGCKUAAUUCGAUGCAACGCGAAGAACCUUACCUGGCCUUGACAUGCAUGUGGUAGAACCAUGAAAGUGGGACGGUCCCGCAAGGGAAGCAUGCACAGGUGCUGCAUGGCUGUCGUCAGCUCGUGUCGUGAGAUGUUGGGUUAAGUCCCGCWACGAGCGCHACCCCUAUGUUHUGUUGCCACUCCUUCGAGAGAWGGAAGCAUUCUGGACAGACUGCCUWGCUUAAACGAGGAGGAAGGUGGGGAUGACGUCAAGUCAGUAUGGCCCUUACGGCCAGGGCUGCACAUGUACUACAAUGCCCGGCACAAAGGGAAGCGAGACCGUCAGGUGGAGCAAAUCCCAUAAAACCGGGCCCARUUCGGAUUGUCGUCUGCAACUCGACGACAUGAAGCCGGAAUCGCU
rnacentral:rRNA from 1 species